rnacentral:rRNA from 1 species
UUAAGCGACUAAGCGUACACGGUGGAUGCCCUGGCAGUCAGAGGCGAUGAAGGACGUGCUAAUCUGCGAAAAGCGUCGGUAAGGUGAUAUGAACCGUUAUAACCGGCGAUGUCCGAAUGGGGAAACCCAGUGCAAUUCGUUGCACUAUCGUUAACUGAAUACAUAGGUUAACGAGGCGAACCGGGGGAACUGAAACAUCUAAGUACCCCGAGGAAAAGAAAUCAACCGAGAUUCCCCCAGUAGCGGCGAGCGAACGGGGAGCAGCCCAGAGUCUGAAUCAGCUUGUGUGUUAGUGGAACGGUCUGGAAAGUCCGACGGUACAGGGUGAUAGUCCCGUACACCAAAAUGCACAGGCUGUGAACUCGAAGAGUAGGGCGGGACACGUGGUAUCCUGUCUGAAUAUGGGGGGACCAUCCUCCAAGGCUAAAUACUCCUGACUGACCGAUAGUGAACCAGUACCGUGAGGGAAAGGCGAAAAGAACCCCGGCGAGGGGAGUGAAAAAGAACCUGAAACCGUGUACGUACAAGCAGUGGGAGCACCUUUAUGGUGUGACUGCGUACCUUUUGUAUAAUGGGUCAGCGACUUAUAUUCUGUAGCAAGGUUAACCGUAUAGGGGAGCCGCAGGGAAACCGAGUCUUAACUGGGCGUUAAGUUGCAGGGUAUAGACCCGAAACCCGGUGAUCUAGCCAUGGGCAGGUUGAAGGUUGGGUAACACUAACUGGAGGACCGAACCGACUAAUGUUGAAAAAUUAGCGGAUGACUUGUGGCUGGGGGUGAAAGGCCAAUCAAACCGGGAGAUAGCUGGUUCUCCCCGAAAGCUAUUUAGGUAGCGCCUCGUGAACUCAUCUUCGGGGGUAGAGCACUGUUUCGGCUAGGGGGUCAUCCCGACUUACCAACCCGAUGCAAACUACGAAUACCGAAGAAUGUUAUCACGGGAGACACACGGCGGGUGCUAACGUCCGUCGUGAAGAGGGAAACAACCCAGACCGCCAGCUAAGGUCCCAAAGUCAUGGUUAAGUGGGAAACGAUGUGGGAAGGCACAGACAGCCAGGAUGUUGGCUUAGAAGCAGCCAUCAUUUAAAGAAAGCGUAAUAGCUCACUGGUCGAGUCGGCCUGCGCGGAAGAUGUAACGGGGCUAAACCAUGCACCGAAGCUGCGGCAGCGACACGAUGUGUUGUUGGGUAGGGGAGCGUUCUGUAAGCCUGCGAAGGUGGCCUGUGAGGGUUGCUGGAGGUAUCAGAAGUGCGAAUGCUGACAUAAGUAACGAUAAAGCGGGUGAAAAGCCCGCUCGCCGGAAGACCAAGGGUUCCUGUCCAACGUUAAUCGGGGCAGGGUGAGUCGACCCCUAAGGCGAGGCCGAAAGGCGUAGUCGAUGGGAAACAGGUUAAUAUUCCUGUACUUGGUGUUACUGCGAAGGGGGGACGGAGAAGGCUAUGUUAGCCGGGCGACGGUUGUCCCGGUUUAAGCAUGUAGGCUGGUUAUCCAGGCAAAUCCGGAUAAUCAAGGCUGAGGUGUGAUGACGAGGCACUACGGUGCUGAAGUAACAAAUGCCCUGCUUCCAGGAAAAGCCUCUAAGCAUCAGGUAACAUCAAAUCGUACCCCAAACCGACACAGGUGGUCAGGUAGAGAAUACCAAGGCGCUUGAGAGAACUCGGGUGAAGGAACUAGGCAAAAUGGUGCCGUAACUUCGGGAGAAGGCACGCUGGUGUGUAGGUGAAGUCCCUGCGGAUGGAGCUGAGACCAGUCGAAGAUACCAGCUGGCUGCAACUGUUUAUUAAAAACACAGCACUGUGCAAACACGAAAGUGGACGUAUACGGUGUGACGCCUGCCCGGUGCCGGAAGGUUAAUUGAUGGGGUUAUCCGUAAGGAGAAGCUCUUGAUCGAAGCCCCGGUAAACGGCGGCCGUAACUAUAACGGUCCUAAGGUAGCGAAAUUCCUUGUCGGGUAAGUUCCGACCUGCACGAAUGGCGUAAUGAUGGCCAGGCUGUCUCCACCCGAGACUCAGUGAAAUUGAACUCGCUGUGAAGAUGCAGUGUACCCGCGGCAAGACGGAAAGACCCCGUGAACCUUUACUAUAGCUUGACACUGAACAUUGAGCCUUGAUGUGUAGGAUAGGUGGGAGGCUUUGAAGCGUGGACGCCAGUCUGCGUGGAGCCAACCUUGAAAUACCACCCUUUAAUGUUUGAUGUUCUAACGUNNNNNNNNNNNNNNNNNNNNNCGGGGUUGCGGACAGUGUCUGGUGGGUAGUUUGACUGGGGCGGUCUCCUCCCAAAGCGUAACGGAGGAGCACGAAGGUUAGCUAAUCCUGGUCGGACAUCAGGAGGUUAGUGCAAUGGCAUAAGCUAGCUUGACUGCGAGCGUGACGGCGCGAGCAGGUGCGAAAGCAGGUCAUAGUGAUCCGGUGGUUCUGAAUGGAAGGGCCAUCGCUCAACGGAUAAAAGGUACUCCGGGGAUAACAGGCUGAUACCGCCCAAGAGUUCAUAUCGACGGCGGUGUUUGGCACCUCGAUGUCGGCUCAUCACAUCCUGGGGCUGAAGUAGGUCCCAAGGGUAUGGCUGUUCGCCAUUUAAAGUGGUACGCGAGCUGGGUUUAGAACGUCGUGAGACAGUUCGGUCCCUAUCUGCCGUGGGCGCUGGAGAAUUGAGGGGGGCUGCUCCUAGUACGAGAGGACCGGAGUGGACGCAUCACUGGUGUUCGGGUUGUCAUGCCAAUGGCACUGCCCGGUAGCUAAAUGCGGAAGAGAUAAGUGCUGAAAGCAUCUAAGCACGAAACUUGCCCCGAGAUGAGUUCUCCCUGAGACUUUAAGUCUCCUGAAGGAACGUUAAAGACGAUGACGUUGAUAGGCCGGGUGUGUAAGCGCAGCGAUGCGUUGAGCUAACCGGUACUAAUGAACCGUGAGGCUUAACCUU